rnacentral:rRNA from 1 species
GAUGAACGCUGGCGGCGUGCCUAAUACAUGCGAGUCGAGCGAACAGACGAGGAGCUUGCUCCUCUUACGUUAGCGGCGGACGGGUGAGUAACACGUGGAUAACCUACCUAUAAGACUGGGAUAACUUCGGGAAACCGGAGCUAAUACCGGAUAAUAUAUUGAACCGCAUGGUUCAAUAGUGAAAGACGGUUUUGCUGUCACUUAUAGAUUGAUCCGCGCCGCAUUAGCUAGUUGGUAAGGUAACGGCUUACCAAGGCAACGAUGCGUAGCCGACCUGAGAGGGUGAUCGGCCACACUGGAACUGAGACACGGUCCAGACUCCUACGGGAGGCAGCAGUAGGGAAUCUUCCGCAAUGGGCGAAAGCUUGACGGAGCAACGCCGCGUGAGUGAUGAAGGUCUUCGGAUCGUAAAACUCUGUUAUUAGGGAAGAACAAAUGUGUAAGUAACUAUGCACGUCUUGACGGUACCUAAUCAGAAAGCCACGGCUAACUACGUG